ACUUUGUUGGUGUCUUUGACCGUGCACAGAACCAGAGUGCAAACCACAGCAUCCACCGAGCUGUCCUCCACCGCCUGCAGAUUCUCCCCCGACGCCACUAUGAAGCUGUCGUACACCAGAACUUUGUUGGUGUCUUUGACCGAGCACAGAACCAGAGUGCAAACCACAGCAUCCACCGAGCUGUCCUCCACUGCCUGCAGAUUCUCCCCCGACGCCACUAUGAAGUUGUCGUACUCCAGGUUGUCAUAAACUUACAGGCCUCAGGACCCUCUUUGCCUCCUGCAGAACUUUGUUGGUGUCUUUGACCGAGCACAGAACCAGAGUGCAAACCACAGCAUCCACCGAGCUGUCCUCCACCGCCUGCAGAUUCUCCCCCGACGCCACUAUAAAGCUGUCGUACACCAGAAGGUGUGAUCACGUGAAGAUGCCUCUGUGUUCUGUCUGGCUUCUUUUUAAAGUGGCUUCAGUGAGCAAACACUGUCAUGGCUGGUGGUGCAUUGCACAGCAAGGCUUCGUCCACUUGAGGCUCAUCAGCGA
rnacentral:lncRNA from 1 species